UACGGGGGGGCAAGCGUUGUUCGGAAUUACUGGGCGUAAAGGGCUCGUAGGCGGCCAACUAAGUCGGAUGUGAAAUCCCCAAGCUUAACUUGGGAACUGCAUCCGAUACUGGAUGGCUUGAAUCCGGGAGAGGGAUGCAGAAUUCCAGGUGUAGCGGUGAAAUGCGUAGAUAUCUGGAGGAACACCGGUGGCGAAGGCGGCAUCCUGGACCGACACUGACGCUGAGGAGCGAAAGCCAGGGGAGCAAAGCGGG
rnacentral:rRNA from 1 species